rfam:Triticum aestivum genome assembly, contig: Triticum_aestivum_CS42_TGACv1_scaffold_081331_1DS
AUUCUACUCCCUUCGUCCCAAAAUUCUUGUCUUAUAUUUGUCUAGAUACGGAUGUAUCUAUAUAUGUAAACGAAUCUAAGACAAAAAUUUUGGGACGGAGAGAGUACAUG